UAGAGUUUGAUCCUGGCUCAGGACGAACGCUGGCGGCGUGCUUAACACAUGCAAGUCGAACGGGGUCCAACCAGUGGCAACACUGGGGAAGAUCUAGUGGCGAACGGGUGAGUAACACGUGAGAAACCUGCCCUGAAGAUCGGGAUAAGCCGGGGAAACCUGGUCUAAUACCGAAUACCUUCGUACUGUCGCAUGGCAGAACGAAGAAAUGGAUUCCGCUUCAGGAGGGUCUCGCGGCCUAUCAGCUUGUUGGUGGGGUAACGGCCUACCAAGGCUCCGACGGGUAGCUGGUCUGAGAGGACGAUCAGCCACACUGGGACUGAGACACGGCCCAGACUCCUACGGGAGGUAGCAGUGGGGAAUCUUGCGCAAUGGGCGAAAGCCUGACGCAGCAACGCCGCGUGGGGGAUGAAGGCCUUCGGGUUGUAAACCCCUUUCAGCAGGAACGAAUCUGACGGUACCUGCAGAAGAAGGUCCGGCCAACUACGUGCCAGCAGCCGCGGUAACACGUAGGGACCAAGCGUUGUCCGGAUUUAUUGGGCGUAAAGAGCUCGUAGGCGGCUUGAUAAGUCGGGUGUGAAACCUCCAGGCUCAACCUGGUGACGCCACCCGAUACUGCCAUAGCUUGAGUUCGGUAGGGGAGCGGGGAAUUCCUGGUGUAGCGGUGAAAUGCGCAGAUAUAU
rnacentral:rRNA from 1 species